rnacentral:rRNA from 1 species
CAGUCGCCACGGGAACACCAGCAGCCCAAAUGGUGGUCGCGCUUAUUGGGCCUAAAGCGCUCGUAGCCUGGCCGGUAAGUUCCCCGUGAAAUCGGGUCGCCCAACGAUUCGGCUUGCGGGGAAUACUGUCGGUCUUGGGGCCGGGAGACGCCGAGGGUACUCCGGGGGUAGCGGUGAAAUGCUGUAAUCCUCGGGGGACUACCAGUGGCGAAGGCGCUCGGCGAUAACGGGCCUGACGGUGAGGGGCGAAAGCUGGGGGCGCGAACGGGAUUAGAUACCCCCGUAGUCCCUGUCUCUUAUU